rnacentral:rRNA from 1 species
UACGGGGGGGGUAAGCGUUGUUCGGAAUUACUGGGCGUAAAGGGCUCGUAGGCGGCCAACUAAGUCAUACGUGAAAUCCCUCAGCUUAACUGGGGAACUGCGUGUGAUACUGGAUGGCUUGGAUUUGGGAGAGGGAUGUGGAAUUCCACGUGUAGCGGUGAAAUGCGCAGAUAUCAGGAGGAACACCGGUGGCGAAGGCGGCUUGCUGGGCCUUACCUGACGCUGAGGAGCGAAAGCGUGGGGAGCGAACAGG